GGGGAAUUUUGGACAAUGGGCGCAAGCCUGAUCCAGCCAUGCCGCGUGCAGGAUGAAGGCCUUCGGGUUGUAAACUGCUUUUGUACGGAACGAAAAGGUGCCUUCUAAUAAAGGGCGCUCAUGACGGUACCGUAAGAAUAAGCACCGGCUAACUACGUGCCAGCAGCCGCGGUAAU
rnacentral:rRNA from 1 species